AACGAACGCUGGCGGCAUGCCUAACACAUGCAAGUCGAACGAGAUCUUCGGGUCUAGUGGCGCACGGGUGCGUAACGCGUGGGAAUCUGCCCUUUGGUUCGGAAUAACAGUUGGAAACGACUGCUAAUACCGGAUGAUGACGAAAGUCCAAGAUUUAUCGCCAGAGGAUGAGCACCCGUAGGAUUAGCUAGUCGGUGUGGUAAAGGCGCACCAAGGCGACGAUCCUUAGCUGGUCUGAGAGGAUGAUCAGCCACACUGGGACUGAGACACGGCCCAGACUCCUCCGGGAGGCAGCAGUGGGGAAUAUUGGACAAUGGGCGAAAGCCUGAUCCAGCAAUGCCGCGUGAGUGAUGAAGGCCUUAGGGUUGUAAAGCUCUUUUACCCGGGAUGAUAAUGACAGUACCGGGAGGAUAAGCUCCGGCUAACUCCGUGCCAGCCGCCGCGGUAA
rnacentral:rRNA from 1 species